rnacentral:tRNA from 1 species
GAAUUGUGGCUCAGUGGCAGAGUGCUCGCCUAGUAUGUGCAGGGCACUGGGUUCGAUUCUCAGCACCA